UUCCUUCCUGCUCCAAGUGGGUUGUGCAUGACUGGGCUUCCACACUCCAAAGAGGAGUUCCAUUUCAAGGAUGUCACAUUUGUAAUGUUUCUGUCAUCCUCUGGAUUAACUGCUGUAUAAUUGCAGUUUGGUACUAAGAAUGCCCUUAGAAACCAUGUGCUGAAGAUGGCAGUGCUUUUGUCAGCCUGGGUUCCUGAAUAACUGCAUGGAACAGAGCCUUUACCAUAUACCCCAACCCCAAACAAAGAACACCUUCAUUGGACUAUUACACAAAAAUAAAGCAGUGAAGUGACUAAAACAGCAGAAAACAAAAUCUUCUUGAGUAAAGUACUCUUGGCAGUAGACUUUAUGAUGUGGUACAACAUCAGGAAAAAAUAAACCCAGCAGACAGAUGGUCUCCAGAGAGAAAUAACCAUAAACUCUGAAACUACUACACAUGAAAGUACCUGCCCAAGGAAUAGAGAAGACAGAUGUUUCUCUAGGGAUUGACCUACAAUGGCACUUGUUGCUCUUGGUGACCAGAGCUAAAAGAAAGCUGAAAGCCAGCAUCAGUGUGUGAAGUCACUGAAGUAUUUUAUAGAUCAGAAAAGUUGGCAAGCGAUGGACACUAGACAACACAAACUUCCUCUCUCCAAAAAUAUAUUCACAGUCAGCUUUAAAGCUGUAGUCACUCCUCUGGGGUCUGAAUAAACAUGGCCAUUCUUGAUAGACAUGUUGACUGAUGGACUGAGAGAUAUAGAUACAUGCCAUGAGAUCUCUUUAUGAGCAGUGGUCUUAUGGAUAUCUGCAUGACCUCUGCUGAAGUAAAAUACUGUGGUUCGUGAGAAGACGUGACCUUUGGAUACAGCUGGUCUAGUCCUGGCUCUGCUGUGUCAGUGAAAGUGGAACAGUUACAUGGCUCUCCCGAAUCUCUGUUUUCACUUGGUUAAAUGAGGGUUACAUGUACUUACUUCCAGUGUUGUUAUGAGAAUUAAAUGAGAUUAAAUGUUAAAAUUUGUGAGCGGUCAAUAUAUGUACUUCUUUUCUCCCCCUCAGUCUCUUAAGAAUAUUCUACACCAGUAUUGCAGAAUAAAGAAAAAUGGAUAUGUUAAUUUGUUUGAUAUAAUCAUUCCACAAUGUAUACAUAUAUCAGGUGGGGAGCAGUGGCUCAUGCCUGUAAUCCCAGCACUUUGGGAGGCCGAGGCAGGCAGAUCACUUGAGGCCAGAAGUUCGAGACCAGCCUGUCAACAUGGCAAAAACCUGUCUCUACUAAAAAAUUUAAAAAUU
rnacentral:lncRNA from 10 species